UACAGAGGUCUCAAGCGUUGUUCGGAUUCAUUGGGCGUAAAGGGUGCGUAGGCGGCGCGGUAAGUCGGGUGUGAAAUCUUGGAGCUUAACUCCGAAACUGCAUUCGAUACUGCCGUGCUUGAGGACCGGAGAGGAGACUGGAAUUUACGGUGUAGCGGUGAAAAUGCGUAGAUAUCGUAAGGAAGACCAGUGGCGAAGGCGGGUCUCUGGACAGUUCCUGACGCUGAGGCACGAAGGCCAGGGGAGCAAACGGG
rnacentral:rRNA from 1 species